GACGAACGCUGGCGGCGUGCCUAAUACAUGCAAGUAGAACGCACAGUUUAUACCGUAGCUUGCUACACCAUAAACUGUGAGUUGCGAACGGGUGAGUAACGCGUAGGUAACCUGCCUGGUAGCGGGGGAUAACUAUUGGAAACGAUAGCUAAUACCGCAUAAUAUUAAUUAUUGCAUGAUAAUUGAUUGAAAGAUGCAAUUGCAUCACUACUAGAUGGACCUGCGUUGUAUUAGCUAGUAGGUGAGGUAACGGCUCACCUAGGCGACGAUACAUAGCCGACCUGAGAGGGUGAUCGGCCACACUGGGACAGAGACACGGCCCAGACUCCUACGGGAGGCAGCAGUAGGGAAUCUUCGGCAAUGGACGAAAGUCUGACCGAGCAACGCCGCGUGAGUGAAGAAGGUUUUCGGAUCGUAAAGCUCUGUUGUAAGAGAAGAACGGGUGUGAGAGUGGAAAGUUCACACUGUGACGGUAUCUUACCAGAAAGGGACGGCUAACUACGUG
rnacentral:rRNA from 1 species